GGAAGGGGUGUAUUUAUUAGAUAAAAAACCAAUGCCCUUCGGGGCUCCUUGGUGAUUCAUAAUAACUUAUCGAAUCGCAUGGCCUUGCGCCGGCGAUGGUUCAUUCAAAUUUCUGCCCUAUCAACUUUCGAUGGUAGGAUAGUGGCCUACCAUGGUGGCAACGGGUAACGGGGAAUUAGGGUUCGAUUCCGGAGAGGGAGCCUGAGAAACGGCUACCACAUCUAAGGAAGGCAGCAGGCGCGCAAAUUACCCAAUCCCGAUACGGGGAGGUAGUGACAAUAAAUACUGAUACAGGGCUCUUUUGGGUCUUGUAAUUGGAAUGAAAACAAUCUAAAUCCCUUAAUGAGGAGCAAUUGGAGGGCAAGUCUGGUGCCAGCAGCCGCGGUAAUUCCAGCUCCAAUAGCGUAUAUUAAAGUUGUUGCAGUUAAAAAGCUCGUAGUUGAACCUUGGGUCUGGCUGGCCGGUCCGCCUCACCGCGUGCACUGGUCCGGCUGGACCUUUCCUUCUGGGGAGCCUCAUGGCCUUUACUGGCUGUGAGGGGAACCAGGACUUUUAC
rnacentral:rRNA from 1 species